CGCGGCCUAUCAGCUUGUUGGUGAGGUAAUGGCUCACCAAGGCGACGACGGGUAGCCGGCCUGAGAGGGUGACCGGCCACACUGGGACUGAGACACGGCCCAGACUCCUACGGGAGGCAGCAGUGGGGAAUAUUGCACAAUGGGCGAAAGCCUGAUGCAGCGACGCCGCGUGAGGGAUGACGGCCUUCGGGUUGUAAACCUCUUUCAGUAGGGAAGAAGCGAAAGUGACGGUACCUGCAGAAGAAGCACCGGCUAACUACGUGCCAGCAGCCGCGGUAAUACGUAGGGUGCGAGCGCUAUCCGGAAUUAUUGGGCGUAAAGAGCUCGUAGGCGGUUUGUCGCGUCUGUCGUGAAAGUCCGGGGCUUAACCCCGGAUCUGCGGUGGGUACGGGCAGACUAGAGUGCAGUAGGGGAGACUGGAAUUCCUGGUGUAGCGGUGGAAUGCGCAGAUAUCAGGAGGAACACCGAUGGCGAAGGCAGGUCUCUGGGCUGUAACUGACGCUGAGGAGCGAAAGCAUGGGGAGCGAACAGGAUUAGAUACCCUGGUAGUCCAUGCCGUAAACGUUGGGCACUAGGUGUGGGGAACAUUCCACGUUUUCCGCGCCGCAGCUAACGCAUUAAGUGCCCCGCCUGGGGAGUACGG
rnacentral:rRNA from 1 species